AUUUGGCAGAUCUAAAGCCAAAGCCUGAUCUACCCGCAAUUUAAGAGUUUGUGAUUUCAUCGAUGAACUAAAUAAGAACAGAGGAAGAUGCCAGGCAGAGAGGGGAUGAAAAGAAAGAUCACCUGCAGGAGGGACUGAAGCAAGUAAAAAGGUUGGUAUCGUUGAGCAUUUCUGUGAUGGUGGCGGACGAGGUAAGACCUGUGGAGGAGGAGUUGAGGACCCUAAAAGAGGAGUUGUGGUCUGUAGACAAUUGUUUUGAUAUG